rnacentral:tRNA from 1 species
GGAGAGGUGGCUGAGUGGUUUAAAGCGCACGCCUGGAGAGCGUGAGUACCCCGAAAGGGUAUCCAGGGUUCGAAUCCCUGCCUCUCCGCCA